rnacentral:rRNA from 1 species
UACAGAGGUCCCGAGCGUUGUUCGGAUUCAUUGGGCGUAAAGGGUGCGUAGGCGGCUUCCUAAGUUUGAUGUGAAAUCCAGGGGCUCAACCCUGGAACUGCAUUGAAUACUGGGAGGCUAGAGUACUGGAGAGGAAACUGGAAUUUACGGUGUAGCAGUGAAAUGCGUAGAGAUCGUAAGGAAGACCAGUGGCGAAGGCGAGUUUCUGGACAGUUACUGACGCUGAGGCACGAAGGCCAGGGGAGCAAACGGG